rnacentral:rRNA from 1 species
GAUGAACGCUGGCGGCGUGCCUAAUACAUGCAAGUCGAGCGAACAGACGAGGAGCUUGCUCCUCUGACGUUAGCGGCGGACGGGUGAGUAACACGUGGAUAACCUACCUAUAAGACUGGGAUAACUUCGGGAAACCGGAGCUAAUACCGGAUAAUAUAUUGAACCGCAUGGUUCAAUAGUGAAAGACGGUUUUGCUGUCACUUAUAGAUGGAUCCGCGCCGCAUUAGCUAGUUGGUAAGGUAACGGCUUACCAAGGCAACGAUGCGUAGCCGACCUGAGAGGGUGAUCGGCCACACUGGAACUGAGACACGGUCCAGACUCCUACGGGAAGCAGCAGUAGGGAAUCUUCCGCAAUGGGCGAAAGCCUGACGGAGCAACGCCGCGUGAGUGAUGAAGGUCUUCGGAUCGUAAAACUCUGUUAUUAGGGAAGAACGAAUGUGUAAGUAACUAUGCACGUCUUGACGGUACCUAAUCAGAAAGCCACGGCUAACUACGUG